rnacentral:rRNA from 1 species
CCCUUAGAUGUUCUGGGCUGCACGCGCGCUACACUGAUGCACUCAACGAGUUUACGACCUUGCCCGAUAGGGUUGGGUAAUCUUUUUAAAAUGCAUCGUGAUGGGGAUAGAUUAUUGCAAUUAUUAAUCUUCAACGAGGAAUUCCUAGUAAGCGCGAGUCAUCAGCUCGUGCUGAUUACGUCCCUGCCCUUUGUACACACCGCCCGUCGCUCCUACCGAUUGAGUGGUCCGGUGAGGCUUUGGGAUCUGGGCGGAAAGAGCGUUUCGCUGUUUCUGCCCGGAAAACUCAGUCGAACCUUAUCAUUUAGAGGAAGGAGAAGUCGUAACA